UGGCCUAUGGUGUAACUGGUAACACGUUUGUUUUUGGUGCAAAAGAGUAUAGGUUCGAGACCUAUUGGGCCAA
rnacentral:tRNA from 1 species